rnacentral:rRNA from 1 species
CGUUCCCGGGUCUUGCACACACCGCCCGUCACACCAUGGGAGCGGGUUUUACCAGAAGUAGGUAGCUUAACCGCAAGGGGGGCGCUUACCACGGUAGGAUUCGUGACUGGGGUG